UACAGAGGUCUCAAGCGUUGUUCGGAUUCAUUGGGCGUAAAGGGUGCGUAGGCGGCGCGGUAAGUCGGGUGUGAAAUCUUGGAGCUUAACUCCGAAACUGCAUUCGAUACUGCCGUGCUUGAGGACUGGAGAGGAGACUGGAAUUUACGGUGUAGCGGUGAAAUGCGUAGAUAUCGUAAGGAAGACCAGUGGCGGAAGGCGGGUCCCUGGACAGUUCCUGACGCUGAGGCACGAAGGCCAGGGAGCAAAGCGGG
rnacentral:rRNA from 1 species